GAUGAACGCUGGCGGCGUGCUUAACACAUGCAAGUCGAACGAGAAUCUUUGGAUAGAGACUUCGGUCAAUUGAAGAAGAGGAAAGUGGCGGACGGGUGAGUAACGCGUGAGUAAUCUGCCUUGGAGUGGGGAAUAACACAGAGAAAUUUGUGCUAAUACCGCAUGAUGCAUCUAGGUCGCAUGGCUUUGGAUGCCAAAGAUUUAUCGCUCUAAGAUGAGCUCGCGUCUGAUUAGAUAGUUGGCGGGGUAACGGCCCACCAAGUCGACGAUCAGUAGCCGGACUGAGAGGUUGGCCGGCCACAUUGGGACUGAGACACGGCCCAGACUCCUACGGGAGGCAGCAGUGGGGAAUAUUGGGCGAAUGGGGGAAACCCGUGACCCAGCAACGCCG
rnacentral:rRNA from 1 species